GUCAAAGCUGUGGGAAGGCCGGGGCGAGCGCAGCCCCCGGGCUCAGGGCCGGGGUCGCCGGGUUCCUGCCUCCCCGCUCGGGGGCCCCGGCCUCCCCGCUCGCCCACACCCGCCCUCGCACAGGUAGGAUGUGUUUGUGGGCAGAUCCUCGGUUCGAAGCCAAACCGAAGCCGUCCGUGCUGGGCGUCCCGACGCGGCCUCCUCGAAGCCUCUGCGGGAGUGCGCGCCGCGGCCUUCCGCCUGCAUCCAUCCCCCUCUGGGCGGAUCGUAGCCUCCCCUUCUUCAGACCCCACCGGCUUUAGGGAUUGCGGUGGUGGCGGAGCCGGGGCCAUCUCGACUGUCUGGAUUUGGAGUCGCGCCCGGGCCCCCCAGCAAGAGCGCGCCCCCCGGCUCGCGGGCUCGGGCGCUGGCCUUUGUGGCCUCGAACUCGCACAGGCCUUGCACACAGCACAUUUGCAUUUUCCCAAAGUCUACCAUCGUGGAAGGUUCUGGAGUUUCAUCAAGGCUUACACUUAAAGGGACUUUCUCUCUAGGUAAAUUUUGUGCGGGCACUUGCCGUUCCGGCUCCUGCCCUCCCGCCGCCCUGCCCAGGCCCACCGAGGCUGGCGCCCCGACGGCCCCACGCGCGCCGCACAUCGUCUGUUUCCUUGGAACCGGCUACUAACCGGCUAGACUGGCUCCUGCUGAGCAAGAGGUCUCAGAUACCUGAACUCGAAAAUUCCUGGGAUGCUGAUAUGUCAUUUGUCGAUGGAAAUGAAGUUUUUAAGUGACCUGGCCUGGAUAGAGGGACUUAACAGCGCCGAGGAAAUGGUGGUUGCUUUACAGUCAAGACAAAGUGAGGUUGUGAGGGAUUCACGUGGCUGGGAGUUGGAAGACGAGAAAAUCUGGGUCUUCAUUCGGUUUCAUUGUGCCUCUCUGUGCCACCUUGCAGAAAUUACAGCGUCACCUUCCGCCUCAGUUCCUUGGUCUUCCAAAUGGAGAAAGUGUGGUUUCUAAGACCCUUUCCACGCUAAUGUUCUAGGAUGCUAAAAGGACACAUUGUGUUCAGUAUUUCUUGAGAAGAAACACAGAGCUGGGAGAUGAUACUGGAGAAGUUCCCCAGGAAGAGAAUCAGGAGUUGGCAGAGGAGUCUAUGAGGUCAUGCUUCUAGCAUCCAGGUGUAUCAUGGGAGACAAAUCAUUGCACAAAUACCCCCUGGACCUCACUCAUCUGUACCAGGAAUUAUACUACUCCUUUUUUUCCAUUGACCAUUAGCACACAGGUAGCCACAAUGAGUGGCCAGGACUUGUGUGGGAGCCACCAGGAAGGAUCUCUCUCUUUUUUUUGUUCUCUGCACUUCAACAUGGAGAGAUGUAAACUGCCACCACACAGCAAGAGUCUGCUGGAGAAUAGAGCCAACACAGAGGAAGUAGAUCCAAGAGAUGGAGAAGGAGAAAUUGGGUGCUGAAGACAUUUGAGCCUGGAUCAAGCUAUUCUUGGAGCUAAACCUAUCACCAGAUUCUCAAGUUAUCUUUCAUCACUUUUUACCUGGAUUUCGGUGACAGCUACCUACAACAACGUUGUCUCCUGCCACCAGCUGCUUCCUUGCUCUGGUCUGGUUCUCCUCCCUUACAUCGCAUCACCAUGCCUAUCUUUCUAAAGAGUGCUGGCCCAUGACCAGUGCUCCACCAGUACCUCUAGUAAAAAAGCGUUCUUUUCACCUG